rnacentral:lncRNA from 1 species
CUUGGUAGAUUGUAAUGAAAUUUCUUCCUAAGAGUCCUCAAGCUAACAUGAAACCUUUCUUUCUCUCUCUAUAAAGUUCAGCUGGUGAGAGAAAGUAUUGAAGAAAGACUUUUAAAGGUUUGUUUAAGGUGAAGUGUAAAGCAUGAAAAUUGAGGUUAGUUUGAGAGAGUGAUGGAAGCUUGAGAAAAGCUUUCAUGGAAGAGGAGAGAAAUGUGAAAUGGGAGGAGGAAGAAGAAG